rnacentral:rRNA from 1 species
GACGAACGCUGGCGGCGUGCUUAACACAUGCAAGUCGAACGAAGAUCGUUGGACGCUUGCUUCGCUCAAUCUUAUUGGCCAUCGGUUGCGUAACGCGUAAUCCACCUUCCCUUCACGGGGGGACAACAGUUGGAAACUGCUGCUAAUACCCCAUACGAUCUAAUCUCGGCUUCACGGCUAGAUGAAAGGUUGCCUCUCCAUCUAAUCUAUCACUGAAGGAGGGGAUUGCGUCUGAUUAGCUAGUUGGCGGGGUAACGGCCCACCAGGUCGAUGAUCAGUAGGCGGUCUGAGAGGAUGAACGGGCACAGUGGGACUGAGACACGGGCAAGACUCCUACGGGAGGAAGCAGAGGGGAAUCAUCAGCAAUGGACGAAAGUCGGACGGGGCAACGCCGCGUGAGUGAUGACGGGCGUCGGGUUGUAAAGCUCUGUUAAUAGGGACGAAAGGCAGGCUUGCGAAUAGUGAGAAGGAUUGAAGGUAACGGAAUAGAAAGCCACGGCUAACUACGUG